CGGCGAACGGGUGAGUAACACGUGAGGAACCUGCCCUGUAGACCGGAAUAACCGUGGGAAACUGCGGCUAAUGCCGGAUAAGCUCCACACACCUCAUGGGGUGUGGAGGAAAUGGUCAGCCGCUACAGGAUGGCCUCGCGGCCUAUCAGCUUGUUGGUGGGGUAACGGCCCACCAAGGCGGCGACGGGUAGCUGGCGUGAGAGCGCGACCAGCCACACUGGGACUGAGACACGGCCCAGACUCCUACGGGAGGCAGCAGUGGGGAAUCUUGCGCAAUGGGCGAAAGCCUGACGCAGCGACGCCGCGUGCGGGAAGAAGGCCUUCGGGUUGUAAACCGCUUUCAGCAGGGAAGAAGCGAAAGUGACGGUACCUGCAGAAGAAGGACCGGCCAACUACGUGCCAGCAGCCGCGGUAAUACGUAGGGUCCAAGCGUUGUCCGGAAUUAUUGGGCGUAAAGAGCUCGUAGGCGGUCCAUUAAGUCGGGAGUGAAAUCUCAGGGCUCAACCCUGAAACCGCUCUCGAUAC
rnacentral:rRNA from 1 species